rnacentral:lncRNA from 1 species
CUUCGUUGAUCUAUAGUAGCAAUCAAAUGUGUGUCAUCCCUCUCGUUCGUCAAAGUUUUCCUCAUUAGCAAAAUAGUCGAUGUUAAAGUGGCGGAGCUCAAUCACCAUCACCAGGGAAGUCAUCAUAGUUAGAAUGAACUCAAUAACACCAAAUAAUAAUUGUAUUGCUAACUGUCAAUUACAAAAAUGAAAUAGUAGUGAUAAUGAAUUGCAGAGAAAUUGAAGACACAAAGAAGGAGAUGAGAACAACAGAAGAAUGGGGAUGAGAGGAGUACAGAACUUUCACAUAAAACUUGCCUGCUUUAAUUUUUAUGCUACUGUGUAUUUAUAGGUAGGGUCAACUAUCUUAAUUUCUUGCUUCCCACUUCACGCGUUCCACACUCGGAUGCUAAACGAAAUCUGUUAACUUUGUUGGAUACUUUCUCACUCUUGUACUGCGUCUCACACUUUCUGUUACUUGGGGAAUGCUGACCUGGCUGCUAUCUCGGCUAGGCGUAUGCGUAAUUUCAAUUGAGUUACUGUUCAUAACAUAACCUCCGACCCCAAAAGGAACCUUGUCCACAAGGUUCAUUCCAGCUGCAAUCGUAGAUGUGUCACUGAGAUUUAAUGGAGUGAUUUGUUGUUCAGGCAAACCUAUGCACUUUUUGAGCAACGAAAUGUGAAAGACCGGAUGAAUAGACGCAGCCACUGGUAAUUCUAAUUUGUAAGCCACUGAACCGAUGCGCCGCAAUACUUUGAAGGGUCCAAAAUACUUUCUAUCCAGCUUGUGGUGUUUAUGUAAGCGUAAGGAAUGUUGUUUGUAAGGUUGUAAUUUGACAUAAGCCCAAUCACCAGCCUCCAAAGUAACAUGUGUGCGUUUCUGAUCAGCAAAUUUCUUCAUACGACCUUGAGCACGCAACAAGUUGGCUUUGAGAGAGUGCAAAACCUCAUCGCGGUGGAGAAAGAACUGUUCCACGAGUUCAUGGGAACUUCCAUCAAUCACAUAACGAGCUAGAGUUGGUGGGGCACGACCAUACAAGGCUUGAAAGGGAGACAUACCAGCUGAUGUUUGAAAAGACGUAUUAUACCAAUACUCUGCCCAUGGAAGCAUACUGACCCAAUCACUUGGCGAAUCUGCCACAUAACAAUGCAAAUAUUGUUCAACACAUUUAUUGAGAGCUUCAGAUUGACUAUCCAUUUGAGGAUGGUAAGCAGUGCUCAUGGCUAAAGAUGUUCCCUGGAGGCGAUGAAGUUCCUGCCAAAACCCAUGUAAGAAACGCGGAUCUCGAUCAGUGACAAUGGAUUUAGGAGGACCAUGAAGCUUGAGAAUGUGGGCUAUAAAAGCUUCAGCAACUGUCAAAGCUGUGAAAGUAGCAGGCAGCGGUACGAAGUGUCCAUAUUUGGAUAAUCUAUCAACUACAGCCAUGAUAGUCGUUUUACCGCGAGAUGGAGGCAAGCAAGUCACAAAAUCCAUUGUGAUCUCCUCGAAUACCUGCUCCGGAAUUGGAAGUGGUUGUAAUAAGCCAGCAGGGUGAUGAUGGUGGUCCUUCAUUUGUUGGCAAACUUGACAAGAUGCUAUGAAUACCUUUAUGUCACGACGCAUAUUCUUCCAAUAAAAAUUGGAAGACAAACAAUGAAAGGUACGGGCAAUGCCCGAAUGGCCACCAAUGGGAGAAGAGUGGAACUCUUGGAGCAGGUGGAGGCAAAGUGGUGAAUCAGCAGGUAACACUAAUCGUCCUUUGAAAAAUAAGAGCCCUCCUCGAUAACAAUAACCGGGGAAUGCGGAAGGAUCAUCACGAAGUCCUUAUUGUAUAGAUAGUAAUUUUGUAUUCUCCUUGUUGUUGAGGUGCAAAGUGUCAAAUAACUGAAAUGAUUGACUGGAAAAAGCCAUUAGUGAAGCAGUCGGUAAACGAGAUAGUGCAUCUGCGGCAAGGUUGUGUUUUCCUGGCCGAUAUACAAUUUCAAAAUCAUAUCCCACGAGUUUGCUUAACCACUUUUAUUGCUCUGGGGUCUGGAUUACUUGACCAGUGAGACUCUUAAGAGCCUGUUGAUCAGUGAUUAUAGUAAAACGUCUCCCUAAUAGAUUUGGCGCCAUUUGCUAACAUAUUGAGUGAUAGCCAACAUUUCGCGCACAUAAGUGGAAGCCUGUUGCAUUCUCGGGCAUAACUUUUGGCUGAAAUAGGCAACAGGAUGUCCUUUUUUAGAGAGAACAACCCCAAUGCCCAUCCCAGAGUCAUCAGUUUCAACCUGGAAUGGUUGACUAAAGUCAGGCAAUGCUAACACUGGUGUAGAGCUGAGACAACUCUUAAGUUUCUUGAAUGCAUCUUGAGCUUCAGGAGUCCAAGAGUAAGAAUCAGUACGUAGUAAAUCAGUCAACGGACUUGCAAGCAUAGCAUAGUUGCGGAUGAAACGUCUGUAGUAUCCCGCUAACCCCAAGAAGCUACGAACUUCCUUGAUAUUGCGAGGGUCAGGCUAGUGUUAGAUAGUGUUAAUCUUUGACGGAUCCACUAUCAACCCAUGUUGGGAUAACACAUGACCCAAGUAAUCCACGGUCUUUUGCCUAAACGCACAUUUGGAGAGCUUGGCAACCAACUGAUGUUCUCGUAAAGUGGAUAGGACCAAUUAAAGAUGAUCCAAGUGAAGCUUCCAGGAAGGACUAUAUAUCAAAAUGUCAUCAAAGAAAACCAAUACAAAUCGUCGUAAAAAGGGACGAAACACCGAAUUCAUUGUGGCUUGAAAAGUGGAUGGGGCACUAGAAAUCCCAAAUGGCAUUACCAAGAAUUCAGUGUCCUUCAUGUGUGUGAAAUGCAGUCUUUUCAAUAUCCUCGGGUCGCACUCGAAUUUGGUGAUAGCCAGACAACAAAUCAAGUUUAGAAAAAUACUUUUCACCAUGUAGUUCAUCAAAUAAUUCAUCAAUGGUGGGAAUAGGAAAUUGAUCCCGUAUGGUGACAGCAUUCAAUGCCCGAUAAUCAACACAAAAGCGCCAUGAGCCAUCUUUCUUACGAACUAGUAACACCGGGGAAAAGAAUGGGCUAGUACUUGGGCGAAUAAUACCUUCAGAAAGCAUCUCAUUCACCAAUUGCUCCAUGAUGUGUUUCUGAAAAUACGAAUAUCGAUAGGGCUUUACAUUAACAGGUUCUGUGGUUGGAGCCAAAUGAAUAUCAUGAUCUUGAAGACGCUUAGGCGGAUGUCCUUGUGGCUUUGUAAAAACGUCCUUAAAGGAGUCUAAUAAGGCAGAAAUGGCAGGUGGUGUCUCAGGAGAAUUUGAAGGUACAGCCCCAAUUAACUGCAAAUGAUAAUAGGUAGCUAUAGCAUCAGUGGCGCACAAGCAUCGUAAACACUGAAGUUGGACCGGCUGGAUAUCAAUAGAAGACUCGCCUUUCCAGCUAAAUUGUUGCCCAUUUAACUCAAAUUCAAAUAUCCUCUAACCAUAAUCAGUAACAACACGCCCCAAAGUAGCAAGCCAUGAAACCCCUAAGGCAAUGUCCGAGCCAUGCAUCGGCAAGAAAAAGAAAUCCAUAGUGAGAAGACACCCCUGAAUCAUUAACAGAACUUGGCGGACAGUUCCAGUACACGGAAGACGUUGGCCACUGCCUACCAUAACAGAGAAUUGGGAAAUAGGCUCUACUGCUAAGUGAAGGAAAUUAGCCACACGAGUUUGAAUAAAAUUGUGUGUGCUGCCAUUAUCGAGCAUAACUUGCACUGAUGAGCCCUGAACGUAACCAGUAAAACGGAGAGCAGAAGCAGCAUCACCACCAGCCAUAGCGUGGUAUGAGAUACUGGACGAAUGCAUCACCUCAAGCUGUUGAAGCUCCUCAGCCAACAUUUCAUCAGUCAAAGAAGAAUUAGUGAGAAGGUCUUGCACCUCUGGUUCACAUUCAAGCAAUAAUAAUUGCGGGGGAGCUUUACAUUUAUGACUAGUAGAGUAUUUUUCAUCACAACGAAAGCAUAGCCCCUUUUCUCGGCGUUGCUGGAUCUCCAUCGGUGAGAGACGCUUAAUGGGCAGUCGAUUGCAGUUAACAUUAUGUGGGUAAGGACUGGGGUUUGGUAGAAGAGGUGGAGAAUUUGUGAAGGCCGGUUUAAACGAUCCAUUCCGCUCCAACAAAAGUCGUUGUUCAUGAGUAUGGGCCAAUUCAAAAGCUUCAUCCAAUGUUUUUGGUUUAUGGACCAGAACAACGGUUUGAAUAUCUGCGCGAAGACCCGAAGUAAACAACGGAACCAACCAAGAGUCUGGGACGUCAGUAGUCUCAUUAGCUAUAGACUCAAAUUGAGUCUGAAAAUCAGAGACGAUAGAAGUUUGUCGGAGCUUGGAUAAACGCCCCUCUGCUGGAAGCAAUGUACGUUUAUGAAAUCUACUAGUUACUUUCAAAGCAAAAUUAGCCUAUUCGCUCAAUUGUUUGUUUCGAAAUAACCAGCGGUACCAUUCACGGGCCUCACCAUCCAAAUAGAACGAAGCUAUGGACAAUUUAUGAUCCUCAGAAAUAUUAUAAAAAUCAAAAUACCUCUCUGCCUGAAAGACCCAGCUCUCAGGAUUAUCACCAUAAAAACGAGACAUCUCAACAGAAGUUGGUUUAUGUCUCAUGGAGGGUAUAAGCGGAGCGCCGAUCGGAGCCGCCAUAUCAACUGCCUGGGAGUGCGAAGUAUUAGCCACCUGAGACAUCAAAUCCAAGAGCAAUUUUUGUUGCCCAGCAAAGGCCUUAGUGAGAUAUGUAACUGAGGCCGACAACUCAGAGAUCUCCUUUGAUGGAACCACCGACGAGGAUGACGGAACAGUGGUAGGAACAUUGGAACUUGAAAACCCGGUCAUGGAGCUCGAGCAAUGAAAGCACCAAUAGAAUGAAGUCAAUAACACCAAAUAGUAAUUGUAUUGCUAACUGUCAAUUACAAAAAUGAAAUAGUAGUGAUAAUGAAUUGCAGAGAAAUUGAAGACACAAAGAAGGAGAUGAGAACAACAGAAGAAUGGGGAUGAGAGGAGUACAGAACUUUCACAUAAAACUUGCCUGCUCUUAUUCUUAUGCUACUGUGUAUUUAUAGGUAGAGUCAACUAUCUUAAUUUCUUGCUUCCCACUUCACGCGUUCCACACUCGGAUGCUAAACGAAAUCUGUUAACUUUGUUGGAUACUUUCUCACCUCUUGUACUGCGUCUCACACUUUCUAUUACUUGGGGAAUGCUGACCUGGCUGCUAUCUCGGCUAG